rnacentral:pre_miRNA from 1 species
AUGGGGAUCACCAGGGGUUCUGUUAAAAUGCAGGUUCAUUGUGAGAGUCUGCAUUUCUAACUAGCAGCCAGGUGAUAAUGCU